rnacentral:lncRNA from 1 species
GCAGGCGCGCGCUUGGGAACCCCAGAAACCGCGAGCCGUUUCCUUUCUCUUCGGAAAUGGCAGUUUUGUUGUCCUGGAUGAAGGCGAGCGCCGCUGCCUCCCUGAAUGCUGAGCACGCUGGCUUCGCGGUGCCCGGAAGGAAGCCUUUGAAGACCCUGACUCCAGUGUCUCCAGCUGAGAGGCUGAGCUUGCCAGCUCCAUUUCUGACUGCUCAUGGAGCAGAAUCAGUGACCAAGGAGAAAAGGGCUGAGUGAAGAAACAAGUGUGAGUGCCAAGAUGAUGCCAAGGGCUGUGAUUUCCUGGUGGGAAGAAAGAAGGAAUAGAAGCCAAAGGAAGGGGGAUGAAAAGCAAAACCAAGAAUCACAAGGAAUCAAGUUCGGAGAGAAUUUUGGCAGAGAUUUUGAGAGGGGGGCUUUAAGUCAGCCAUGGACAUACUGAAGCAAGAGGAAUGAAGGGAAAAAAGAAAAGGGGGGAAAAAAAGAAGAAGAAUGGGGCCAAGGAGGAUUUAAGACUACCAUUAUAGGUUACAAGUUGAAUUCUUUUUAAUAUUCUUCAAGCAAUGACAGUAAAGAUUCAAAUAACUUUUAAAUUACCUUUGAUUUCUAAACCAAGUUUCUUGGAAUGUGAAAGUCGCCAAGACUGGGCCCUGCAGGGCCUGGGUUGGGCUACUACUGCCUAUGGAGAUUCUGAGGGUAUUAACCUUAAUAAUGGCAU